UGAGACAGGAACAGACACAUGAGGUCUGAGAUGAUAGAGGUGAGACAGGAACAGACACAUGAGGUCUGAGAUGAUAGAGGUGAGACAGGAACAGACACAUGAGGUCUGAGAUGAUAGAGGUGAGACAGGAACAGACACAUGAGGUCUGAGAUGAUAGAGGUGAGACAGGAACAGACACAUGAGGUCUGAGAUGGUAGAGGUGAGACAGGAACAGACACAUGAGGUCUGAGAUGGUAGAGGUGAGACAGGAACAGACACAUGAGGAGGUCUGAGAUGGUAGAGGUGAGACAGGAACAGACACAUGAGGAGGUCUGAGAUGAUAGAGGUGAGACAGGAACAGACACAUGAGGAGGUCUGAGAUGGUAGAGGUGAGACAGGAACAGACACAUGAGGAGGUCUGAGAUGGUAGAGGUGAGACAGGAACAGACACAUGAGGAGGUCUGAGAUGAUAGAGGUGAGACAGGAACAGACACAUGAGGUCUGAGAUGGUAGAGGUGAGACAGGAACAGACACAUGAGGAGGUCUGAGAUGGUAGAGGUGAGACAGGAACAGACACAUGAGGAGGUCUGAGAUGGUAGAGGUGAGACAGGAACAGACACAUGAGGUCUGAGAUGGUAGAGGUGAGACAGGAACAGACACAUGAGGUCUGAGAUGAUAGAGGUGAGACAGGAACAGACAUAUGAGGUCUGAGAUGGUAGAGGUGAGACAGGAACAGACACAUGAGGAGGUCUGAGAUGAUAGAGGUG